AACUCUGACGAGGAAGAUAGGACUAU
rnacentral:piRNA from 1 species